GCUCCCGUGGCGGAAUUGGUAGACGCACUAGACCGAGAUUCUAGUUUUUUUACAGGUUCAAAUCCUGUCGGGAGUACCA
rnacentral:tRNA from 5 species